rnacentral:misc_RNA from 1 species
ACACCUCAACUCUCAUGGUUUGCCAUGAUGAGCUUGGACUUUGGGGGUCUUGCUGGCCUAUGGUCAGCUCCUCUCAAAUGAAUCAGCUUGCCAGUGUUUGGUGGCAUCGCGGGUGUGAUAACUAUCUACACUUGUGGUUUUCCACCAGAUAACCUUCAGUGAUGAAGGUUCGCUGGAGCUCACAAACGUCUCUCCUCGGUGAGGACAGCUUUCUGAAC